rnacentral:miRNA from 1 species
GGUCUAUGUGGUAUGUCCUUC